UGGGGAAUAUUGCACAAUGGGGGAAACCCUGAUGCAGCGACGCCGCGUGAACAAAGAAGGUAUUCGUAUCGUAAAGUUCUGUCCUAUGGGAAGAUAAUGACAGUACCAUAGAAGAAAGCUCCGGCUAAAUACGUGCCAGCAGCCACGGUAAUACGUAUGGAGCGAGCGUUGUCCGGAAUUAUUGGGCGUAAAGGGUACGCAGGCGGUUUAAUAAGUCGAAUGUUAAAGAUCGGGGCUCAACCCCGCAAAGCAUUGGAAACUGAUAAACUUGAGUAGUGGAGAGGAAAGUGGAAUUCCUAGUGUAGUGGUGAAAUACGUAGAUAUUAGGAGGAAUACCAGUAGCGAAGGCGACUUUCUGGACACAAACUGACGCUGAGGUACGAAAGCGUGGGGAGCAAACAGG
rnacentral:rRNA from 1 species